GGCUGGGAGUUGGCAAACCUCACUCACCUGUCGGGACCUGGAUCCGGACAGGGAGCGGGUUCUGGAGAUCAGGGCACGCUGGUUACCGCAGCCUCGACCUUCCCCGCGCCGGGACACCACGGCCAAGGGGUGUGGGGGCUGCUCCCCGAGACUCGAGACGCCUGGGCUCCGCUUCCCAGCUCCCUACUCCCCCCUCUUGCCCCCGGGCGCCAUCGACUUGGCUGGCAGCGAAGGCCAGCUCGAGCCGACGCCAGAGCUGCGGGUUCGAGAGGCUCCGCCUCCUUCGGCCACUUCGAGCCACAAGAGCCUCCGGGAAAUUUUCCAGUCUGUCUUAGGCUGCGGUCACUGCUGAGGUUUUCAGAACUUUGCAGGAGAGGGCCAGCUAGGACCUCUGCCUCCAACCCACUCCUUGCCUGCCGCCUGCCUGGGACAUCCCCGAGUCCAGGAGAUCCCGCUCCCCGACGCCCCAACUUUUGGCGAGCAAUCUGCGCUCCCAGACUGUCGAGCUCCUGUGCCAAGGGGCGUGCUGGUUUUCGGGGGCCGGCAACACUCUCCCUCGGCUCGCCUUCCACCUACCCCGGCGUGGGGCUGGGUGAGUUGGGAUCUGCGGUGCACUUGAGCGUUCCCAGAGCUCCGGAUUCGCCCUUCCAGGGGAUUGAACCCGGGCGGUCCCGGCCUCUUACUCCGAAACUCGAGUCGGCCCCGGUCUUUUCCUCCGAACUCCGGUGCCGUCGCGGGUCGGCCGGCGGAGCGUCCGGGCGCUCGAGACUUCGUGGCCUGUCGGGGCUGUGUGUACCAUGGCCGGCUGCUGCUGCCUGUCAGCGGAGGAGAAGGAGUCGCAGCGCAUCAGCGCCGAGAUCGAGCGGCAGCUUCGCCGGGACAAGAAGGACGCGCGCCGCGAGCUCAAGUUGCUGCUGCUGGGUGAGUGAGCCUCUCCCACCCCUGAGCUCCGGGCGUUUCGCUCCCGGCCGCUUCCCUCGCCCGGAUCCCUGGCUGGAGGACCUGGAACCGAGCGGUAUGCUGCUGCGCGGCUUCCUCCUCCUCCCAGGGGCUCGCGGAUGA
rnacentral:lncRNA from 1 species